UGCAGAUGAUCCAAACAGGCUUCGGGAUGCUCACACCUCUGGCUUUUGGCUUGGUUUAUCUGAUUUGCAGCCUCACCGCUGUCCGUGCUGAACAACCGGUAUGGAAAUACAGCGUCACAACAACACAGCUGUGUGCUGUGAGAAUCAACUCUAUCCAGUGGCAGAGCUCUCAUAUUGUGGAGAGAAGGCUUUCAACCCAGAAGAAGCCACUUGUUGCCCAUAUGAAAAUGGAAGCACCAUAACAGAGGGCCUUAGUGAAAAGGUGUCAGCUUGCUGUGGACUGAAGGCAUACGACCAGCUCAAUCAAAUAUGCUGUCACGGAACCAUCCUAGUCAAACCUGGGCCAAACGCCCAAUGUUGUGAUAAAAAGGCUUUUGAUGUCGACGAGCAGAUGUGUUGUGGACCGCUGACCAAUAAGACAAUCCUAACAAAAGAAUCCUCAGACCACCGAUGCUGUGGACAAAACAGUUUUAACCCAACGACUCAAUGCUGCUGUUCGAUAAAUGAAAGUCUAAGCAUAUGGUCCAAGGAUUCCAGCUGCUGCGAGAAGGCUGACUGUGGACAGAACACCUACAACACAAGCGACAAACUAUGCUGUCAAUCAACGGUUGUUAGCAAAAAUGUAUCAAAUGCCCAAUGCUGUGGUAAACAGGCGUUUAAUAACGACACACAAUUGUGUUGUGGUCCUUCUGAUGACAAGAUAAUCCUGGAGAGAAUCUCUAUUGACCACCUCUGUUGUGGACGUAACCGGUUCGACACCAACAAGGAGUGCUGCUGUUUGACAAAGGAAGGUCUUCAGAUACAACAGAUCAAUUCCAGCUGCCGUCGGGAUCAGGGUCAAUCUUCUGAUGCCACUGCUGUGUUUAACCCACACAUAGGUGUCUGCUGUGGACGCUGUGUGUCUGAUUGGAACCCUUCGACAGAUCAACUUCAUGGCCCGCCUGGACAACAUAGCUGCAGGACGAAAGUUUAUCGGCCUCACGCGGGGAUCAUUUGCGAUGGACCAAGGACUCCUCACUUCUGUGGGUCAAAAGCCUACGACAUUAAAGACCCAGGAAUGAAGUGCUGCGCAGGAACAUUGCACAACCUCACUCAAGUACCAGAGGCGCAGUGCUGUGGCUCCAUCCUGCAAAACAAACCGAACGUAUGCUGUUUGAGUGAGCACAUGGAGGUGCUCUACUCCAACAAGACGAAAUUUGAAUGCUGUGGUCACCUCUACUACAACACCUCCCUAUGGUCAUGCUGUGCAGGGACGCUGAGCGCUGUGCCUCCACGAGGACAGCAUCCGAGUAAGAAUAUUAUUAAAGAUCAGUUGUGCGACGCUUAGGCAUUACCUCACAAAAGAGGAUUGGAUCCGUCGUUCUAUCUUACGAUUUCUGCAUCUGAUAAUAAUAUAUACAUAUAAUGUUCUUUUUUAGAAUCCAUACUUCGAUCUUUGGGCAAUUUGAAUGAGACGGAUCUUUGUGGCAAACUGCAAGUCGGGAUUGUGGAAAGGGACGGCCUGAAUGGGAUCGUAUUCAACAGUGUGUUGAUAAUCCAUGGAAGGAAUGGCAGUGUGAUACCCAGGAGCGGGCUUCACACCCUGAGUACAGGAACCGAUGGCUGCAGCAACGCAAAACUGGUCCCUGGGAAGAGCUACUUCUUUGAUGACGUUAAAGUAAAUGUCUUCACAGAUCUCAACCACGACUCUAUUCUCCAGUCCAUCUAUUUCAUUAUUUCUAAGUGUCAUACGAAUAUAUAAGAUUAUAGACUUUAUGUUCAGGGUCGGACGAUUUACUAACUAAUCUAACAUGCAGCUAAUUUAUAGAUGUUGAGUUUUGGAUUAACACCAUUUGUUAAAAAACAACUGUGGAGUUAUCAAAAGCAAUAUUCCUUGUCUCUUAGCAGAGGACAGCCAUUAUCAAUUAUCAGGCUGGAGCUUGUUCACUAAGUCCACAUAUUAGUCUGUUAACUUAUGCACAUCAAUAAAACUACUCUCAAAUUGUGAAGUAGCAGAGCAUCAAAAGAAUUAUUAUAUACAAUGUCCAUGAAGUUCAUGACAGGAUGAUCUAAAUCUUUUGCAUAACUGGUGGUUGCAAUUACCAAUGUUUAGUAAUCACCGCAAGAUGGUGACACUCAUCACGGUGAACUAUUUGUUUUCAAGAUUAAUGUUUGUGUGAUUAAUGUGUCUGUGAUUUUAAUAAGCUAAUAAGCUAAACAGCUAUUAGAACAUGUGUUUUCAUUUUUGGAACAUUAUGCUCUAUUUUGGAUUUUUAAAUUUGCACAAAACUACAUUAAUAGUGAGUCACUCAUGAAAAUGUAUGUUUGAAUAUAAAUGACAGGAUUUGUCACAUUAUGUGUCACAUGUGCUAAACAAAGCUGAAAGACCAAUCACUUAAAUAUUAAGCUGUGGUGCAUUGAAUUUCUAUGGUGCGUUGAAGUUAUAUUUCUUAACAAUAUGUAUGUUACCCAUAGUUCCAUGUUCCUGUAGCUAGGAACAUGGCAUUAGUAUGAAGGUACUUUUCCAACUUUGAGCGUUUUGCCAUCGCCUUAGUGUGGCCUAAAGGAUUCUGGACACUGCUUUUGCAGUGUGUACUGACCGGUAGAGCUCAGGAGGCUUAUUCAUCUUUAACUCUGACUCAAAAUAUAGUUGUUUUAAUGUUCAUUCAUGUACUGUAUUUUUCAUUUUACAAAAACUAUUUUCUAUAUCUUUGUACGUUUAGUUUCUUGUUUUAAGCAGUGUCAACACAUAAUGCAUGUUUUAGUAUGUUCUAUAUCUAUGCAUGACACAGCCA
ensembl:lncRNA